rnacentral:rRNA from 1 species
UACGUAGGGGGCGAGCGUUGUCCGGAAUCAUUGGGCGUAAAGGGCACGUAGGCGGCCCCGUAAGUCGAAUGUGAAAUCCUGCAGCUCAACUGCAGAACUGCAUUCGAUACUGCAGGGCUUGAGGAAGGUAGAGGAGAGUGGAAUUCCCGGUGUAGCGGUGGAAUGCGCAGAUAUCGGGAGGAACACCAGCGGCGAAGGCGGCUCUCUGGGCCUUUCCUGACGCUGAGGUGCGAAAGCGUGGGGAGCGAACAGG